AGCAGUCGCCGCGGUAAUACGUAGGUCCCGAGCGUUGUCCGGAUUUAUUGGGCGUAAAGCGAGCGCAGGCGGUUAGAUAAGUCUGAAGUUAAAGGCUGUGGCUUAACCAUAGUACGCUUUGGAAACUGUUUAACUUGAGUGCAAGAGGGGAGAGUGGAAUUCCAUGUGUAGCGGUGAAAUGCGUAGAUAUAUGGAGGAACACCGGUGGCGAGAGCGGCUCUCUGGCUUGUAACUGACGCUGAGGCUCGAAAGCGUGGGGAGCAAACAGGAUUAGAUACCCCAGUAGUCCCUGUCUCUUAUACC
rnacentral:rRNA from 1 species